GAGCGCACAGGCGCGAUGCGUCAGGGGCGGGAGCCCGUGAAAACUCGCAUGCGCCAAAGCCGGGAAUAAGCGGCGAACAUCGUGCCGAACCUAAAGCAGGCUGCUCACCUGGUCUUGGGGAGAAAGGAUGAAGGUGCAGUGAUCCUAAGGCAAUUCUCACGGGAUAAUGAAUUUGUGAUAACAGCUAAGAGAUGAAUUGAUUUCUGAGCAUCUGGACCUGUGGAUGGAGUUAAUGGAAGGAAAUGUCAAGAGAAGCUCACCUCUUUGACAUCAGGAUUAUGAAUAUCGUGUGACUGGAUGUAGACAGCAAAACCAACAAAGGCAACAGCCAAUGAAAGGAGGCAGAAGAAGAAGGAGACCAGAGGUGGAUGUCGUUCCAGGCAGAUACGCAGGGAGGCCAGUAGGGAGCAGAUGACCAUGAGCAACAAUCUGAGCUACAUUGCUGUAUCUUGAUGAAGUAUACUCUCCCGCCACCACUUCUGGACUCUAUUUCAGCCUGAAAAUUUGAAGAUUGUUCCCCUUCCCAUCAAUUCUUUUAGUCCAAAUAAAAUGUUACUAGUCUUUUAAAGAUUA